UACGUAGGGUGCGAGCGUUGUCCGGAAUUAUUGGGCGUAAAGGGCUCGUAGGCGGUUUGUCGCGUCGGGAGUGAAAUCCAUUGGCUUAACUAGUGGCUUGCUUUCGAUACGGGCAGACUGGAGGUAUGCAGGGGAGAACGGAAUUCCUGGUGUAGCGGUGAAAUGCGCAGAUAUCAGGAGGAACACCGGUGGCGAAGGCGGUUCUCUGGGCAUGUCCUGACGCUGAGGAGCGAAAGUGUGGGGAGCGAACAGG
rnacentral:rRNA from 1 species